AUUGAACGCUGGCGGCAGGCCUAACACAUGCAAGUCGAGCGAGCGGCGGACGGGUGAGUAAUGUCUGGGAAACUGCCUGAUGGAGGGGGGUAACUACUGGAAACGGUAGCUAAUACCGCAUAACAUCAGAUGUGACCAGAUGGGAUUAGCUAGUGGGUGGGGUAACGGCUCACCUAGGCGACGAUCCCUAGCUGGUCUGAGAGGAUGACCAGCCACACUGGAACUGAGACACGGUCCAGACUCCUACGGGAGGCAGCAGUGGGGAAUAUUGCACAAUGGGCGCAAGCCUGAUGCAGCCAUGCCGCGUGUGUGAAGAAGGCCUUCGGGUUGUAAAGCACUUUCAUCGGGGAGGCGUUACCCGCAGAAGAAGCACCGGCUAACUCCGUGCCAGCAGCCGCGGUAAUUC
rnacentral:rRNA from 1 species